rnacentral:rRNA from 1 species
UACAGAGGGUGCGAGCGUUGUUCGGAUUUACUGGGCGUAAAGGGCGCGUAGGCGGCCACCGCAAGUCAGUUGUGAAAUCUCUGGGCUUAACCCAGAACGGUCAGCUGAUACUGCGGGGCUAGAGUGCAGAAGGGGCAACUGGAAUUCUCGGUGUAGCGGUGAAAUGCGUAGAUAUCGAGAGGAACACCUGCGGCGAAGGCGGGUUGCUGGGCUGACACUGACGCUGACAGCGCGAAAGCUAGGGGAGCGAACGGG